CCUUCGGGAACCGUGAGACAGGUGCUGCAUGGCUGUCGUCAGCUCGUGUUGUGAGAUGUUCGGGUUAAGUCCCGCAACGAGCCGCAACCCCUAUCCUUAGUUGCCAGCGGGUAAUGCCGGGAACUCUAGGGAGACUGCCGGUGAUAAACCGGAGGAAGGUGGGGACGACGUCAAGUCAUCAUGGCCCUUACGGGAUGGGCUACACACGUGCUACAAUGGCGCAUACAAAGGGCAGCAAACCUGGCGAGGGGUAAAGCGAAAUCUCAUAAAGUGCGUCGUAGUCCGGAUUGGAGUCUGCAACUCGACUCCAUGAAGUCGGAAUCGCUAGUAAUCGUGAAUCAGCAUGCCGCGGUGAAUACGUUCCCGGGCCUU
rnacentral:rRNA from 1 species